rnacentral:rRNA from 1 species
UUGAAAGGGAAACGAUUGAAGUCAGUCGUACCUAUGGGUAAUCAGCCUUUUGGGUGUGAUUUUGUGGAGCGUGAGGGGUUAAACGCCUUCAUGCCUGCAUAUUCGUGCACUUUGGGUGUACUUGCCCGUGUGUAAGUUAACAUCAAUUUUGGUGGUCAUAAAAUGGCUGGAGGAAUGUAGCUUCGAUCUUGUAUUGAAGUGUUAUAGCCUUCGGUAGAUGUGACGAUUGGGAUCGAGGAUUGCAACGAAUACCCUUUGGGCUAUCCGUCUGACCUCUGAUGGUCGCUUGGGUGCUGAAAGCGUGCUUACGGUAUUCAAGUUGGCGGUCAACAGGUUAGAACGUGAUUACAUUCGUUAAGGAUGU